rnacentral:rRNA from 1 species
GAUGAACGCUGGCGGCGUGCCUAAUACAUGCAAGUCGAGCGAACAGACGAGGAGCUUGCUCCUCUGACGUUAGCGGCGGACGGGUGAGUAACACGUGGAUAACCUACCUAUAAGACUGGGAUAACUUCGGGAAACCGGAGCUAAUACCGGAUAAUAUAUUGAACCGCAUGGUUCAAUAGUGAAAGACGGUUUUGCUGUCACUUAUAGAUGGAUCCGCGCCGCAUUAGCUAGUUGGUAAGGUAACGGCUUACCAAGGCGACGAUGCGUAGCCGACCUGAGAGGGUGAUCGGCCACACUGGAACUGAGACACGGUCCAGACUCCUGCGGGAGGCAGCAGUAGGGAAUCUUCCGCAAUGGGCGAAAGCCUGACGGAGCAACGCCGCGUGAGUGAUGAAGGUCUUCGGAUCUUAAAACUCUGUUAUUAGGGAAGAACAAAUGUGUAAGUAACUAUGCACGUAUUGACGGUACCUAAUCAGAAAGCCACGGCUAACUACGUG